AUACAUCAAGCAUGAAGCAACCAUGCAAUAAAUCAAGAUGUUGAGCAGCUGUCAGUCACUUUGGUAAUUGAGCCUGUUUCUUCCUCUGCUCUUCCAGCCAUUCAUCCUUUGACAGAGGAUUAUUCAAAGGGCAAUAUCUCAGCCCACGAGACUGGCUGUGUCCCGUAUCCGCGGUCAUCACCAAUCCGCAACUACGGCAGAGCUGCGCCCGCUGCUGCUGCUUCGGCUUCAGCCUUCCUUUUACGUUAAUCUGUGGUUCGUCGGGCUCGUCCUCGCGGUGGAUUCGCCUCCGACGAAGGCCCUGCAAUGGCUUGAAAAAG